GCUGGGCUGGGACCGGGGGACACGGAGCGACUUCCUGGUCCGGCUGGGGGGGGGGGAGGUUGUGCCGCUCCCCGAGCACUGGGAGCGAGCUGGGGGGCCGGGGACCCUCCUCCUCCCCCUGUUCUUCCUCCUCCUCCUCUUCCUCCUCCUCAGUGCCCCUCACGAGGGGCCGUUCGAGGAGGCCCCCGGCCGGCUGCGGUCGGGGCCGCACUGGGCGUAGGCCCUGCACGUCUGGGCCCAGGAUAUCGAAUAAAAGAUGCAUAUUGUGGGGGUUUUGUUUUGAUUGACUUGUGCUCCAAGAAGUUUAAACGUGUGACCUGAAGGACACAUCAUGUCGACUGCUGCUGGCAGACAUUGUCGAUGUCCGGGCAGAUGAGUGACCGGGGGGCUUCUCCCUUCAUGUGGAAGCACUGAAGGGAGAGCAGGCUCAGAGCAGAGGAACUCAUUCCACAAAGUGAACACUUCAGCCCGAAUUCUGUUGUUGUACAUAGUCCUCUAAUCAACCAGGAGCCCACAGCAUGCAAAUACAGAAGAAAAGCAGUCAGUAGGCAGGGGAGUGGGUUUGGGAGGCUUUCCGAAGCCAGGACUGUUGAAAUGAAAAAGACACUGAGGGGCUACAUAGCUUAUGAGCACCAGGGAGACGCGCCACACAAAGCAGCAGGUUGUCGAGUGCACGCGUAGCAUGAGAAAUAGCAGAGGAGGAUGUGGGAUCCAAAAUUUCAGCACCCUGAUAAACCACCAGCCUGGUCUGCAACGUCCAUUCUGAGGGUUGUAUCGUUUUAUGACAUGUCAGCCACGCUGCCGGCACGCCUAAGGAACAGGAAGCAGUUAGACCAUGGCUAGCAAUGGGGCUUGUUAAACGUACAGUAACUGGAACGGGGGUUUAGUCAAGUACUUUCCACAAAGCUGUCCAAUAAGUCACUAAUGAGCACAUUUGCUCAGUGAUUUCUCAUUAAAUAUAAUGAACAUCA